rnacentral:rRNA from 1 species
GGGUAAUCUUGUGAAACUUCAUCGUGAUGGGGAUAGAGCAUUGCAAUUAUUGCUCUUUAACGAGGAAUCCCUAGUAAGCGUGAGUCAUCAGCUCACGUUGAUUACGUCCCUGCCCUUUGUACACACCGCCCGUCGCUACUACCGAUUGAAUGGCUUAGUGAGACCUUUGGAUUGGGGUUUAGGGAUCGGAAACGAACCUUAUUCUCCGAGAAGUCGGUCAAACUUGGUCAUUUAGAGGAAGUAAAAGUCGUAACAAGGUUUCCGUAGGUGAACCUGCGGAAGGAUCAUU